rnacentral:rRNA from 1 species
GAUGAACGCUGGCGGCGUGCCUAACACAUGCAAGUCGAGCGGGGGAGUACCUUCGGGUAUGACCUAGCGGCGGACGGGUGAGGAACACGUGGAUAACCUGCCUUUGACACAGGAAUAACGGUCAGAAAUGGUCGCUAAAGCCUGAUAAGCCUACGAUACCGCAUGGUGAUGUAGGAAAAAAUUUUAUUGGUCAAAGAGGGGUCCGCGGCUGAUUAGCUAGUUGGAGGGGUAACGGCCCACCAAGGCAACGAUCAGUAGCCGGGAUGAGAGUCUGAACGGCCACAUUGGGACUGAGACACGGCCCAAACUCCUACGGGAGGCAGCAGUGGGGAAUAUUGCACAAUGGGCGAAAGCCUGAUGCAGCAACGCCGCGUGAAGGAUGAAGGUUUUCGGAUUGUAAACUUCUUUAGGCAGGAACGAAUAAUGACGGUACCUGCAGAAUAAGCACCGGCUAACUACGUGCCAGCAGCCGCAGUAACAC